rnacentral:rRNA from 1 species
AGAGCUUGAUCCUGGCUCAGGAUGAACGCUAGCGACAGGCUUAACACAUGCAAGUCGAGGGGCAGCACAGGGUAGCAAUACUUGGGUGGCGACCGGCGCACGGGUGAGUAACGCGUAUGCAACUUACCUAUCAGAGGGGGAUAGCCCGGCGAAAGUCGGAUUAAUACCCCAUGAAACAGGGGUCCCGCAUGGGAAUAUUUGUUAAAGAUUCAUCGCUGAUAGAUAGGCAUGCGUUCCAUUAGGCAGUUGGCGGGGUAACGGCCCACCAAACCGACGAUGGAUAGGGGUUCUGAGAGGAAGGUCCCCCACAUUGGUACUGAGACACGGACCAAACUCCUACGGGAGGCAGCAGUGAGGAAUAUUGGUCAAUGGCCGAGAGGCUGAACCAGCCAAGUCGCGUGAAGGAAGAAGGAUCUAUGGUUUGUAAACUUCUUUUAUAGGGGAAUAAAGUGAAGGACGUGUCCUUUUUUGUAUGUACCCUAUGAAUAAGCAUCGGCUAACUCCGUGCCAGCAGCCGCGGUAAUACGGAGGAUGCGAGCGUUAUCCGGAUUUAUUGGGUUUAAAGGGUGCGUAGGUGGUGAUUUAAGUCAGCGGUGAAAGUUUGUGGCUCAACCAUAAAAUUGCCGUUGAAACUGGGUUACUUGAGUGUGUUUGAGGUAGGCGGAAUGCGUGGUGUAGCGGUGAAAUGCAUAGAUAUCACGCAGAACUCCGAUUGCGAAGGCAGCUUACUAAACCAUAACUGACACUGAGGCACGAAAGCGUGGGGAUCAAACAGGAUUAGAUACCCUGGUAGUCCACGCAGUAAACGAUGAUUACUAGGAGUUUGCGAUACAAUGUAAGCUCUACAGCGAAAGCGUUAAGUAAUCCACCUGGGGAGUACGCCGGCAACGGUGAAACUCAAAGGAAUUGACGGGGGCCCGCACAAGCGGAGGAACAUGUGGUUUAAUUCGAUGAUACGCGAGGAACCUUACCCGGGUUUGAACGUAGUCUGACCGGAGUGGAAACACUCUUUCUAGCAAUAGCAGAUUACGAGGUGCUGCAUGGUUGUCGUCAGCUCGUGCCGUGAGGUGUCGGCUUAAGUGCCAUAACGAGCGCAACCCUUAUCACUAGUUACUAACAGGUGAAGCUGAGGACUCUGGUGAGACUGCCAGCGUAAGCUGUGAGGAAGGUGGGGAUGACGUCAAAUCAGCACGGCCCUUACAUCCGGGGCGACACACGUGUUACAAUGGCAUGGACAAAGGGCAGCUACCUGGUGACAGGAUGCUAAUCUCCAAACCAUGUCUCAGUUCGGAUCGGAGUCUGCAACUCGACUCCGUGAAGCUGGAUUCGCUAGUAAUCGCGCAUCAGCCAUGGCGCGGUGAAUACGUUCCCGGGCCUUGUACACACCGCCCGUCAAGCCAUGGGAGCCGGGGGUACCUGAAGUCCGUAACCGCAAGGAUCGGCCUAGGGUAAAACUGGCGACUGGGGCUAAGUCGUAACAAGGUA